rnacentral:rRNA from 1 species
UACGAAGGGGACUAGCGUUGCUCGGACUCACUGGGCGUAAAGGGUGCGUAGGCGGGUUCUUAAGUCAGAGGUGAAAUCCUGGAGCUCAACUCCAGAACUGCCUUUGAUACUGAGAGUCUUGAGUAUGACAGAGGUGAGUGGAACUGCGAGUGUAGAGGUGAAAUUCGUAGAUAUUCGCAAGAACACCAGUGGCGAAGGCGGCUCACUGGGUCAUUACUGACGCUGAGGCACGAAAGCGUGGGGAGCAAACAGG